rnacentral:rRNA from 1 species
UACGAGGGGGGCGAGCGUUGUUCGGAAUUAUUGGGCGUAAAGGGUGCGUAGGCGGUUUUGUAAGUCUUAUGUGAAAUCUAUGGGCUCAACUCAUAGACUGCAUGAGAAACUGCAGGGCUUGAGUAUGGGAGAGGUGAGUGGAAUUCCUGGUGUAGCGGUGAAAUGCGUAGAUAUCAGGAGGAACACCGGUGGCGAAGGCGGGUCUCUGGGCAGUAACUGACGCUGAGGAGCGAAAGCGUGGGGAGCGAACAGG